rnacentral:misc_RNA from 1 species
UUUCCGUAAGUGAACCUGCGGAAGGAUCAUUACAGAGUUCAUGCCCUCACGGGUAGAUCUCCCACCCUUGAAUAUUUAUACCUUAGUUGCUUUGGCAGGCCGUGGAAACACCAUGGGCUCCGGCUUAUGCGUGCCUGCCAGAGGAAACAAACUCUGUUUUUAGUGAUGUCUGAGUACUAUAUAAUAGUUAAAACUUUCAACAACGGAUCUCUUGGUUCUG